GGGGGCCAAGACCGAGCCGGCCGGCCAGUUCUAAGCCCCGCCGCGGACCAAGCGGGCCGCACCUUCGGGAGCCCAGAAGAUGCCCAGGGAGACGGGAACCCCGAUAGCACCACUUGCUGACCACGGCAAGCAUCUAGCCGGUGCUGCUCCACUUCACACACAAUGAUCUGUCCAUGCUGAUUCACUGAGCCUCACAGAGUCCGCCGAGCGGGCUAUUAGUUGUCCAUGUAUUUAUUUCAGUGGUACCCACAUAUCCAAACCAUCCGUCUUAACAUUUGUAUUUCACCACCAUUCCAAAUAAAUAGCUUGAUUCACUCUCUUUUCUAUCA